CCGAAGCCUCUUCCUCAAGACCUCGGACCUCAGUAUCCUUGACCGCCUACUGCUCGUGGGCUAGCUGAAUCUUCAGUCGCUGCAGUUCGACCUUCUCCUGCCCAAGGGCCACAGACAGAUCUUCCAUGGUCCCCCUCAAGGAGCAGAGCUCGUUGGAGCCUUGUGCAGAGGUGGGCUGGACUCUCUCAAACAAUUGCCUCUAAAGGUGGGCAACUCUAUCGGUCGUCGUCUUGAGC
rnacentral:lncRNA from 1 species